UACGUAGGGGGCAAGCGUUGUCCGGAUUUAUUGGGCGUAAAGAGCGUGUAGGCGGCCGCACAGGUCCGUUGUGAAAACUGGAGGCUUAACCUUCAGACGUCGAUGGAAACCGUGCGGCUAGAGUCCGGAAGAGGAGAAUGGAAUUCCUGGUGUAGCGGUGAAAGUGCGCAGAUAUCAGGAAGAACACCCGUGGCUAAGGCGGUUCUCUAGUACGGUACUGACGCUGAGACGCGAAAGCGUGGGGAGCGAACAGG
rnacentral:rRNA from 1 species